AUUGAACGCUGGCGGCAGGCUUAACACAUGCAAGUCGAGCGAGCGGCGGACGGGUGAGUAAUGUCUGGGAAACUGGCUGAUGGAGGGGGAUAACUACUGGAAACGGUAGCUAAUACCGCAUACAAUCAGAUGUGCCCAGAUGGGAUUAGCUAGUAGGUGGGGUAAUGGCUCACCGCGGCGACGAUCCCUAGCUGGUCUGAGAGGAGGAACAGCCACACUGGACCUGAGACACGGUCCAGACUCCUCCGGGAGGCAGCAGUGGGGAAUAUUGCAAAAUGGGCGCAAGCCUGAUGCAGCCAUGCCGCUUGUGUGAAGAAGGCCUUCGGGUUGGAAAGCACUUUCAGCGAGGAGGCGUUACUCGCAGAAGAAGCACCGGCUAACUCCGUGCCAGCCGCCGCGGUAAUAC
rnacentral:rRNA from 1 species